UACGUAGGGUGCGAGCGUUGUCCGGAUUUAUUGGGCGUAAAGAGCUCGUAGGCGGUUCGGUUAGUCGGGUGUGAAAACUUUGGGCUCAACUCAAAGACUGCACCCGAUACUGCUGUGACUCGAGUCCGGUAGGGGAGUGGGGAAUUCCUGGUGUAGCGGUGGAAUGCGCAGAUAAUCAGGAGGAACACCGGUGGCGAAGGCGCCACUCUGGGCCGGUACUGACGCUGAGGAGCGAAAGCGUGGGGAGCGAACAGG
rnacentral:rRNA from 1 species